GAUUAACGCUAGCGGCAGGCAUAAUACAUGCAAGUUGAACGAGAUUAGUUUUAGCAAUAGAACUAGUUUAGUGGCGCACGGGUGCGUAACGCGUAUGCAACCUACCUUAAACAGGGGAAUAGCCUCUCGAAAGAGAGAUUAAUACCGCAUAAUAUAUAUUUAAUGCAUAUUAGAUAUAUUAAACCUACGGGGGUUUAAGAUGGGCAUGCGUGACAUUAGCUAGUUGGUGAGGUAACGGCUCACCAAGGCAACGAUGUCUAGGGGUCUGAGAGGAUGUCCCCCCACACUGGUACUGAGACACGGACCAGACUCCUACGGGAGGCAGCAGUAGGGAAUAUUGGUCAAUGGGGGGCAACCCUGAACCAGCCAUGCCGCGUGCAGGAAUAAGGCCCCUAAUGGGGUCGUAAAACCUGCUUUUGAACGGAGAAAUCUAUUUACGUGUAAAUAGUUAGACGGUACCGUUAGAAUAAGGAUCGGCU
rnacentral:rRNA from 1 species